GCCGGCGUGGUGAAAUGGCAGACACGGUAGACUCAAAAUCUACUGGCCGCAAGGCCGUAUGAGUUCAAGUCUCAUCGCCGGCA
rnacentral:tRNA from 1 species